CCUACGGGUGGCAGCAGUAGGGAAUCUUCCACAAUGGGCGAAAGCCUGAUGGAGCAACGCCGCGUGGGUGAAGAAGGUCUUCGGAUCGUAAAACCCUUUUUUUAGAGAAGAAAGUGCGUGAGAGUAACUGUUCACGUUUCGACGGUAUCUAACCAGCAAGCCACGGCUAACUCCGUGCCAGCAGCCGCGGUAAUACGUAGGUGGCAAGCGUUAUCCGGGUUUAUUGGGCGUAAAGGUAACGCAGGCGGUCUUUUAAGUCUGAUGUGAAAGCCUUCGGCUUAACCGGAGUAGUGCAUUGGAAACUGGGAGACUUGAGUGCAGAAGAGGUAGGUGGAAUUCCAGGUGUAGCGGUGAAAUGCGUAGAUAUAUGGAAGAACACCAGUGGCGAAGGCGGCUUACUGGACUGUAACUGACGCUGAGGUUCGAAAGCGUGGGUAGCAAACAGGAUUAGAUACCCGUGUAGUC
rnacentral:rRNA from 1 species